rnacentral:lncRNA from 1 species
GAGAGAGGGCCCAGGGUGUUUCUUCAACCUAAAAAAGCGAGCCAUAAGUCAAGGCCAGAAAAAGGCUGCCUUUGCCGUUGACAAAAGAGGCCCCGGCCCGGACUCGGCAGCGCCACCGGCCCGGCAGCCGCAGGCUCCGUGGAAGGAAGGUCCUGCCCCGUGUCUCCGUCCCGUCUCCCUGGGCCUGGGCGCUCAGACCAGGUUGUACUCCUUGAGGUUGAGCUGCAGGAUGGUGUCCUUCACGGCCGCGAACACGAAGCGGAUGUUCUCCGUGUCGGUGGCACACGUGAAGUGUGAGUAGAUGAUCUUGUCGCUGUCGGGGUUCAGGUCCACGAACAUCUUCAGGAUGAACUCCCGCGCCGCCUGGGCGUCCCGCUGGGGACCU